UAUUGAUGUUAAAAUGUUCGUACGAUUAUGUUUUUAAUAAAUAUGGUGUCAAAUUGUCAACGUAAAAUAAUAAACGGCAAAGAAAUUGGAGUAGAUAAACCGUAUGUGGGUUAUCUAGUCAAAGCGCAGGUAUCGCCGCAGAAGUAUGACGCGUGGAUAUGCGGAGGGGCAAUCGUGAGCCCCAUGUAUAUAAUCACAUCGGCAGGCUUGCAUAGAAGAUGUCCAGCAUUUGUACGCUGUAGUCGGCUACAAGAAAUAUGUUCAUUCUGCGAAUCUCAACGAUGAUAAAUGCACAAAGAACACGAAAAAGAAAAUUGUGUUAACUUGCGUACCUAAAGCAUACGAAUUAGACUAUACAAAAGUGUCGGUGUGGUCGUACAUUGACAUAGCUGUAGUGAAGACUGAAUCUGCGAUACAAUUUAACGAUGAGAAGUAUACAAAGUUCUGCUCUUACAGCCCUGCGGCUAUACCAGUUAACUAUGAGUCGAGGUAUCAGGACCCUGGGACUGACGCUGUGGUAUAUGGAUGGGGCCAUAAAGAAAUAUAUCGAAAGCCCCACGACGCAGAAGAUUACAAUCAAAAAACUUUACAAUACGCACCACAACUUUUACAAGAGAAAAGUGUUUGCAAAAAGGUUUACAAAGGAUACAACAUGGAUCUUGUGAUUGAUAAAUAUAUGCUGUGUACCAUGGAAGGUGGUAAUGUUGACGAAAAAGGUGAUUUGAUAGGUAAAUCCAAGCCUGUGUUAGUGGACGGGUGUGUCACUAAAAGGCAGAGACUUAUGGGUGCUGGCGGUAUCUCUUGUGAAGAAAACGAAGAAAUGCCGGAGUAUAUCCAAGAUCCUAUAAUUUUUGAUGCAACACGAAGGAAUGGCUCACAAACAAACGAAACCUACACUUCAACUAGAAGACACGGGAUUUGUCAGAACGACCACGGCGGUCCUCUGGUCAGGUGGAUAGGCAACCGUGAAGUACUGAUCGGAGUCGCUUCAGUAUUUCGAGUCAAUAACAAGUCCCAGUGCGUUGGACCUUUCCUUUUCACCAGCACGCAGUGUAAUGGAAAGUUCCUGGACUGCGUACUUAAUGAAGACGGAGAAUCUUUGCGAAGAAAUUUAUAUUGCGACGAACCACCUAGCGUGAGGGGAUUUGAUAUGAUCCGGCGAACGAUAUCUUGGAUGGAUCAUCCUGAAGGGCCAGCCGAGAACGAAAUACAAAUGAGGCCACAAAUCCCUCUCCGGAACUACGGUUAUACUGCAAAUCAAGACGGAAAUGUUAGGAGGGUGGUCCCUUAUAAAUAGUACCAAUAAAUAAAUAUUAAUUAUUAAUUGUAAGUGGUUAUUUAACCCUUAACAUCUGUUUCACAAGUAUCAAGUAAAUUUGAUCGUUAUUAUAAUAAAUAGCUGAGAAAUAUAGUAAUUAUAACUAUAUUACCAUUUAUUUCAUAGCUUAGUACAGUGUGACUCUUGUAUUUGGUCGUCUUAUAUAUUUAUGUGAUGAGUAAACAUUUAUUCCGAAG